CCGCUUAAGAACAAGCACAAAUACUUUUACAUAGAAAGACAACAGCGUUAAAAUAAUUCAAUGAAAUUCUCCAAUCUGAAUUCAGUCAUGUGUGGAAUAGGAUUUAUAUAUGUUGUACUUAUGUUAUCAAUAACAGGUACAAGGGCAUCCAAAGUACUUGAUGUGGAUCCCCGCGGCAUGGUGUUUCAUGAAAUUAGUGCCGAAGAACUCCAGAAAAGACAAAUCGAAGAGUUUGCUGACGCUCUCGGCUACGGUUAUAUAGGUGAGGAAGACAUCAAGGAGGCUCAAGUUUGCAUUGAACAUGACCAGGAAAUAGGCAGUAUAUCGCGUGAUAAUCCUGCUGGUGGAUCAGUCCGCUACACAUUAGACGAUGGCAAAGAUGAACAUGAAGCUGACAAAGGACAUAACCAUGGCUAAGUGUAUAAGUAUGUCGUGACUGCUUCAUAGGCUCGAUGGGGAGCGACAGGUGUUUACGAACGACCAACACGGAUGACAAAGACACCCGCAAGUGCUUCUGCUCACAGAUGGACUGAUGUUACGGCCUGCCGGACCCGCUGCGUCCCACGCCAUCAACAACCGGGGCUGAUAAUUUGCGCAGAGCGUAUUGCGGAUGUUUUUUCGAGCUGCUGGCUACUGUUCUGAUGAUCCACUGGAUUUAACUAGAAACUUAAAAUUUGUGUUUCCGCUUCCACUACCUUAAAAAGGGACGCCGUGUCUGGAUAUCGUUUUAUCUCCUCUUUAUAUCGUUUUCAACCUGAAAACCGUCACCUGUUUGUCUGGGUACAUUGACGCACCUUUACCGUGUAAGAAGCUACAUAAUUUGCAUCCCCCCCCCCCAAAAAAAAAAAAAUAAAUAAAUAAAUAAGAGUAAAAAGCUGUCAAUACAAAAGAUGUAGGGUCGGAAACAAACAGAUAGGGUAGAUCGGAAAACCCGAAACAAACAUCUCAUUUCGUUGCGCCUUUUAUGCACUUGAUUAAUCUGUUUUUCCUUACAUGUGCACACCAUUAGGCCCUUUGUUCAGAACUUUGUUAAAGUUAACAACGUUAUUAACAGCAUCGUUGUUAACUUUAAAAAGUGGACUAUUCACGAUAUGCUCAUACAUUUAAAUAAAACAGGUACAGCUGAAAUAGUUGUCUCAAAAUGUGCACAUACAUGUUCUACAGAAAUAAAUACUUGAAAGUUAACAACGAUGACGUAAACGACGUUGUUAACUUUAACAAUGUUCUGAACAGUCGGCCCUAUGUAUCGCUUCGCGCAGCUUUGGUAAUGGAUUAAUCAUGCAUUCUUUAUGUCUAUACUGUCGUUUUAUAAGGCAUGUUCAAACCAUUGCUAGACAAUCACGUGUCGAAUAAAAAAACCUUUGAGCUAUAUGCCAUAAACUUUAUAGAAUUAACCAAUAGACUUUAAAUUCAACAAAGCUACAAUUCACCUCAUACAAAUCAUAAUAAAACCGAAUCAACAUGCAUAUCUGUUAUAUAAAACAACGCAGUAAGUAAUUACAACGCACUGUUAUUGUUGUAAUUUAUUUCUGCCUUGUCUCGAUGGGCUCAUUUCAAUGUUUUCAAUUGCCUUUAAUCAAUCAUGCCGAGUUUACUCUACAUCCGAGUAUAUGUACAUGUAUAACUUUUGUUUAAAACAAGAUCUUGCGUUUCCGUGGUAAUUGUAAAUGAACUUUGUCGAACUGUUUUCUUUCCCAUAAUGUAUUUUUAUUUGACGUAUUAUUGCCAGGAAUUAGAAAAAAAAACAUUAUAUUGUUGUUGUUGAUGUUUGUCUGUCUGUGUGCGAUUCUGUAUCUGUUUAUCUGUGUGCGUCUCUGUAUAUGUUUGUCUAUGUGCGUCUCAAAGUCUGUAUUAUUGUCUGUCUGUCUGUCCGUCCGUCCGUCCGUCCGUCCGUCCGCCCGCCCGCCCGUCCGUCCAUCCGUCCGUCCGUCCGUCUGUCUGUCUGUGUAUGUCAUGUCUGUCUAUGUGCGUGUCUGUCUGUGUCAGUCUGUCUGUCUGUCUGUCUGUGUGUGUAUGUGUGUUUGUGUGCGCGUCUGUGUCUGUCUGUGUGUGUGUGCAUCUCCUUAUGUGUACGUGUCUGUGUAUGUUUGUCCGUGUCUGUCUGUCUGAGUACGUGUCUGUUUGUGUGCCUCUGUCUAUGUGCGUGUCUGUGUUCGUCUGUCUGUGUGCAUCUCCUUAUCUGUUUGUGUGUGUCUGUCUGUGUGCGUGUUUGUGUGUCUGUCUAUGUGCAUGUAUGUGUUAGUCUGUCUAUGUGCGUCUCCCUAUCUGUUUGUGUGUGUUUGUCUAGAUGUACGUCUGUGUGUGUGUGUCUGUCUGUGUGCGUCUCCCUAUCUGUUUGUGUAUGCCUGUCUGUGU